CAAACAACCCCAGUUCCCUCAGCUGCUCCUUACAGGACUUGUGCUCCAGAAAAACAGACUGCUCGUAGGACACCCAUCCCACCAGCAGUACCCCACAGGGAUGUGACAGGCCGACCCCUGUGCACUCAGCCUGGAAAUCUAGGCUGAGGCAGCUGCACCAGGGAGCCAUUUGCUUCAAUUCCCUUCCUGUCUAAAUACCUUGCAGACCUUGUGUUGGUGUAUAUCAUACCAGCCUGUAAUGGUAUCAAGACCUCCACGUGGUUCCUGUGUGUGAUCAAUGGCCUGGACUAUUCCUAUAAAGGCUGCUCUUACUUCAUGGUAUUCUGGACCUGUGUUGCUAAGGAGAUGGAAAGGAUUUGGAAGGAAGAGUCUUUCAAGACCCCAUCAGCAGCCCCACAGCAACACACCAAGUGACAGGGUACAUCUGGAAUAGGAUCCAGCUACUGGAUUGGCAUGAGAGCAGGAAGGGAAGAAUAUGACAGAGGAGCUGGGAAGCAUAACGGGAUCGUUUUAUAAGGUGGAACUGUUCUGAGGAGCACUGCUCUAAGAGAAGGAGCCAAAGAGAGGAGUUUGUGACCUAAUCAUGAUGAACAUCUAAUUACUGCAGCAAACUAUGGUCUGUGGGCAUACUGCUUGCUGAGGUGUGUGAAAAGCCAUCAUCCAAGGAAACUAUAAAAGUUAGAAGGAGAAAAUGACAAAAGGAGUACUGAACAUGUAGCCAGAGAAGGAGGAAAGACAGAGGGAGAGACUCAAUAAAAAA
rnacentral:lncRNA from 1 species